CUCUCCACUCGCCCCCGUUCCGCUGUGGCCAGCUCGACGUCGAGCCGCAACUCGCCGUCACCCUCGCCCCCGUCACCUCGCUCGUCCGCGGCCUCCUCCCCAAUGGCCCCGGCGCCUCACUCUCUCUUGCCCUCGCAAACACUAGCCCCCACACGAGCUCCUCUCCUCGCGUGCACCUCCUUCCCCAUGUCCGGCCCAGCGGAACCAUGGUCGCGCCACGAUGAGCUCACGGCCACCACCGGCCUCGCUCCUCUCCAUCGAGCCCAGAAGCUCCGCGGCAUCCUCCUCGACCCCUUGGUGCACUGGAUCGAUCCGGAGCAGUGCGCUAGCAACAUCAUUGACUCGAUCUUCUUCCUCGGCCGUCGUCGCCAUUGUUGAGCUCCUACUCGCCUCCGACACCCUCGACCCUCAUUGAUCACCUCGCUGACACCGCUACAACAGAGCCCAGGAGAUGGUGUAUCCCGCUGACGACGACUGCUACCCCGACGGUGCCUUCUGCUACAUGGAGGUCGCUGACGACGAGGAGUAUUUAGGAGGUUCCAAGGGAGGAGGCCUCACCUUGUUCGAUCAAUGUAUCUUUUCUGCUAGCCUUCUCUAAGGCAUCAACUUGUUUCUAUGUUUGUACUCAGAUAUUUUUUGCUUCCGCUGACUCGUGUGUUUCUCGAGCUUCUGUAUUCGAGCCCUUGAGGCACCUCACUUGUAAUAUGAGCUUGUAUGCUUUUAUUUGUGUC